CCAAUUAUUUUCGAUGAUUGAUCGGUAGUAAUGAACCAAUCAUCAAUUAUGAGAUUUUAACCAAUUCCCAACACUAAUUUGUAUCAUUGAUUGUGUGGGAUAGAGUUUAACAAUGGAACUUAACUGUCAAAUAUGGACAAAAUUCUGUGUACGUCCUUUGUUUGUGUUGUUUAGUUUGGCCAAUUUUCUACUUUUUGUUUCCAAAUACUGAAGAUGAGUUAAGAUAAGAAAAUAUUUCUGCAUGAAAAAGCUACAAAACCUCUGAGAUGACCAAAAUCAAAUUCACUCAGUCAUAACAAAUAUCUCUAUAGAUUUGAGAGUUACUUCCCCUUGCACUGUAUGGACAAUCUUAAUACACAGAAUUUACUUGAAGUGUGUUGGGUCUAUGUAUGCAAAAGAAUAUCAAACUAUCAAACAAUUUUUAUGUGGACUGAAACAGUAGACUUGGGCGAAAGUUGCCAAAUGUCGAUGUUAACAUUUGAAGCAGUGAGUGACAUAGUCUGUGUUGAUAGUUCCGUCUUUCCCAUGAUUGUUUCUUGUAUGAACAAAUGAGAUGUGAUUGGCCAGAGUUUGCCAGGAACUGGUAGCUAUGUAUCCAUGUAUAUUUCCUGAGUAAUUUCAAAUUAUGUUUUGACGUGGCCCACAUCAGUGCCCAGAGGCGACGCGAAUGAUCGGCAAUGUUCAGUUAUCUAUAGGUGGUGGACCUAGUGGUUAGAAUGUUCGCCUAUCACACCAAAGACCCAGGUUCGGUUCCCCUCAUGGGUACAAUGUGUGAAGGCCAUUUCGCUAUUUCUGGUGCUUCUCCCCCUAGGCAUUUUGUGGAUCGGGCCCCUGUAAUGUAAUUAGCUGCUGCGGACUGUAAAGACUAGACAAACCCUCUCAGGUGGUCAGACUUGCUGAAUUUGUUGAUCGUGUGUCAUGGCAUCACGAUUAUGAUCGAUGCUCAUGAUGUCAGUCACUGGAUUGCCUGAUCCAGAUUUGAAUGUAUGCAGAGGUGGAAUGUUGCUGAGUGCAGUUAUUUACAUCUAUAAGCUAAUAGCAUGAACUGGUUGAGGACUAUGGACCCACCCGCUGUAGAGGGUAUUAUGUACUGAAACAUAUAUACAGGUCACUGCCAUAGCUGGAAUAUUGCUGGGUUGAAUAACAAACAAACAAAACACUGACAUGCAAAGCGGUCUUAGCUCUAAGAUUGUCAUAUGCCUAUGUUAAAGCAUGGGAGUUACGAUCCAUAUGGCCUUAGUCACUUUGUGGAACAGUGUCCUGGAAUGUCUUAUAUCCCCAGCUGGAGGUGGGGUAAUUAUACACAAUUAUAUCUCCUUGUACCUCAUACACAACUGUAACAGGUGUCCAAACAGAACAACUUAUACAGGAGUGAUGAAGAAAGAGGUUGUGCAUGUCAGUGUAAUAAUUUCAUUAAAAAAUCGUUUCAUUGUGAAAUGAACUUGAUAAUCAUAGAUUCAUGACAAACUUUUAGAUUUUAUUUAUUUGAUCGUGAAGACCAGCAAUGUUAUAUUACAUGCCAAUUAAGUAUUAUGACAUACUGCAUAAUGCCCUCUCCUCAGUUGCUACAUUGUAUGAGAUGAAAUACAGUGUUGUAUAUAGCUGUAUAUAGUGUUAUAUAUCCCGGGUGACAAUAUCAGAUGUGUUCAAUUGUGUGUGUUUGUAACUGUACGUGUUGUUAGAACCAGCAGCAGGUACACCUAUGCUGUCCUACAGUUGUCUCCCUUGCAUGUGUGCAGGAUUGUGUUGAGUCGAGGAACCAUGCAUAUCAGUAUCCAGGCACUUUUAUCAGUGCCCUGGGACACUGAUGUACUGAAUGUGGUUCAAUGCAUCCCAUGUUUACCACGAGCCAUAGUAUAGUAUAUACCCUGUUGACACUGCUUAAAUGAAUUUAUCUUGCUAACAUGUUUUAGUCCUCCAUUGUAAAAAAGUUCAUACAAAUUGAUAGAAAUCAGGUUUUUAAUUGAGUUGUACUGUGCCAUGUGACGUUGUAAACAACAUGCAACUUUGUAAUGGGAUAGAAGGGAUUUUUGUCUCCCACUAGGAAAUCCAUUAUAAGCCUGUUUUCAUUGUGGCAGGAUGUAAGGGAUUUUUUCUCCUGCCCAGAAAUGUAUUUCCCUCCCAGGAGGGUUACAUGUUUUUUUAUUAAGAUCCCAUGAACCAAACCUCAGUAUUCUGACAUGGAGGUAACAUAGGCAUAUAACACAUGCAUGCUUAUGUCCCAGAACAUGGUAGUAGGUCAUUAUAGCCAUGUCCCAGAACAUGGUAGUAGGUCAUUAUAGCUAUGUCCCAGAUCAUGGUAGUAGGUCAUUAUAGUUAUGUCCCAGAACAUGGUAGUAGGUCAUUAUAGCCAUGUCCCAGAACAUGUAGUAGGUCAUUAUAGCCAUGUCCCAGAACAUGGUUGUAGGUCAUUAUAGCCAUGUCCCAGAACAUGGUAGUAGGUCAUUAUAGCCAGCGUUGUAAACUCCCCAAAAUUUCGGCCAGACAACUGGUCUGGUAACUCUCAAAAGUUACCAGACCGGCUGGAAAGUUACCAGACCUGAAUUUUCAGGAUUAAGAUAAAAUAUAGGAGGUAAAUAGGAGGAGGGAACUUUUUAAUGUCAGGUUAUUGUCACAAUAACACGUUUUUAAAUGUUUUUAGUCAUUAUAUACAUUACAAAAUUACGCUGAUUCAACAGCCAGACCAUCGGGCGUGCAACUUUUUAAAACUGACCGUCCGGUCGCAAAACAGACCGUCCCGGACGGUCGGGCAGGCGGGAGUUUGCAACGCUGUUAUAGCCAUGUCCCAGAACAUGGUAGUAGGUCAUUAUAGCCAUGUCCCAGAACAUGGUAGUAGGUCAUUAUAGCUAUGUCCCAGAACAUGUAGUAGGUCAUUAUAGCCAUGUCCCAGAACAUGGUUGUAGGUCAUUAUAGCCAUGUCCCAGAACAUGGUAGUAGGUCAUUAUAGCUAUGUCCCAGAACAUGGUAGUAGGUCAUUAUAGCCAUCUCCCAGAACAUGGUAGUAGGUCAUUAUAGCCAUGUCCCAGAACAUGGUAGUAGGUCAUUAUUGCUAUGUCCCAGAACAUGUAGUAGGUCAUUAUAGCCAUGUCCCAGAACAUGGUAGUAGGUCAUUAUUGCUAUGUCCCAGAACAUGGUAGUAGGUCAUUAUAGCCAUGUCCCAGAACAUGGUAGUAGGCCAUUAUAGUUAUGUCCCAGAACAUGGUAGUAGGUCAUUAUAGCCAUGUCCCAGAACAUGGUAGUAGGUCAUUAUAGCCAUGUCCCAGAACAUGGUAGUAGGCCAUUAUAGUUAUGUCCCAGAACAUGGUUGUAGGUCAUUAUAGCCAUGUCCCAGAACAUGGUAGUAGGUCAUUAUAGCUAUGUCCCAGAACAUGGUAGUAGGUCAUUAUUGCUAUGUCCCAGAACAUGUAGUAGGUCAUUAUAGCCAUGUCCCAGAACAUGGUAGUAGGUCAUUAUAGCCAUGUCCCAGAACAUGGUAGUAGGUCAUUAUUGCUAUGUCCCAGAACAUGGUUGUAGGCCAUUAUAGUUAUGUCCCAGAACAUGGUUGUAGGUCAUUAUAGCCAUCAAGCAGCUGUGAAUAAUGUUAUUAUUUUAUGUUCUCAGUCCACAAAGGUACAUGUGGUAAAAUCAGUUUGUUGGUUUUUGACAUUUUGUCGUCCGAAUGUUUUGAUUGUUGUAAAAGAUGAUUUAGUCCAGAACAAAGUGCCCGCCCUUGCUGCCAACUUUAGUCAAGUUACUACCAUUGUUUUCAAAUGCAUGCAGAUGGCAUUAGUAUGCAGUGCAGAGUUAGUUCCCUUGGUUAUACCAGGAUCCACUGCUGAUGGGUCCCUGAUUUUCCUCUACGGGGAGUACUAGGUCUGUCAGCGCCUUACCUAGUGAGAAUGAAUAUUGUCAAGAGUUUGACAAACUUGGGCUUUCCUCCUGUGCAAAACUGACCCUCAGUGUUGGAAGUGUGGCCGAGCAUGCUCACUCUACACUUAGUAUUUAUGGUGAACAAAUGGAAGUGAAUCUCAGAACACCAUCUGUUUGAAUAAUGAAGCAACCAAGUUCAUGGAUAAUAACAACUGCUUGUUAAUUUCAGAGAGAGACAGGGAUGGCAUUUUUCCGCUGAUUUAAUUCAUCUGAAACCCCAUUUGAUGACACAAUAAGUUUUCAGCUGAAAAUAGAUUUUCCUGUUGCCAUCCAUGGAGACAUUUUGGUGUAGAUUCUUACACGGUUACUUAACGCAAACACUUUUAGGUUCAUAAUGGUGACGAAUCUAAACCGAAAAUUGCUGAUUGCAAUAAACAAGUUGUUAUCCAGAUCUUGUAUGAUUCCUUAUUGACUCACCAACUAGUAUGCGAUCAAACAACCAUCUAUGUGAAUCCUGUCAGGUCAGACCGUAUUCUGUGAUGUCAUGUAGCUCAUCUACUUCAUUGUUAUAUGGAAAAGUGCCUUCAAUGUGCUGGGUUUUGGUCCUCUGUAAAUUAGGGAACAAUAUCAAUGUUUUAAGAAUAAAUAAUUUGAAUUGAAUUUAAAACGAAUUACGCUCUUUAUGUUUCUUUUCAUGCUUCAAAAUAUGAACAUUUACACAAAACAAAAAUACAGAAAAUUGGAAAGUUAUGUGAUCAAAAACAGAUUGUGAUCAGUCGUAGAUGGAAUAAUGAGUUGAAAAUAUUAACAAAUCUGUCAAAUGUACGGGUAGCGUUUUCAUGAAGUUUUCAUAUUUUCUCACAGUAACAGCCUCACAAAACCAUCCUACCAAAAUACUGGUGGUAAGAUAAUCAAGUUUGAUAACAAAUAUUUUCAUCUGUCUGUAGUAUGCAUUUGAUGAACUUGUUUAUACUCAUUCCAUUUUGUAAAUCCGAAUAAUGAGAUUGCAAUUUGUGCUGUUAAUGAAAUAGAGAUACGAUUGGUUGUAUUUUCCGUUUGCCACCCACAUUUGCCUCCACAUUUUAUGCAGAACUGUGCCUUAUGCAGGUGUAGUUGUGAGAUUCUGGCCAGUGAAGAUGUACCGGGAAUGUUAUAACAUUGUUAUGAGGUGUUGUAUAACCUAGUUAUUACCUGACGGAGUGAUACAGUGUAACUGUGUUGUGCAACAUGAUGAAACAUCUGCUGUGGAAGCUGUGGAGAAGUGGUAACUCCUGUCGAACAUUUGUUGCUUGAAAUAAGGGAACAAGUUCUAGUUUGAAAAUUAACAAAGGGAGACCACUCCCCCAAGCAAUCUGUACUUGCCAUGCAAUAAUUGUAUAUUCCUUGCUUUGAUAUACACCAGACUUGCUGUUCAAAUUGAUAUAUGGGAUCAGUCUACACUGGAGCUAUCAUUAGACAUCCGAAGUCCAUCACAGUCAUUAUUUAUAUCUUGUGCAGGUUGCAUAUUAUUUUAUAUCUAUGGUUGUUGAGAGUGUGUAUAUAUGUAAAUAUGAACCAGAAGGACGCCUCUCCCAAGGAAGUCCAGGACGUGGCCAUCACCAGACUUCGGUUGUGUAGAUAAUACACAUUGUUUUUGAUGAAUUAUAAGAAUGAAUCAUCCUAUAUUUUAGUAUGAAUCUCAUGAACAUAUGCACAAACUUAGAUUGAAUCAAGAGAUGUCAGUGUUGUACCUAAUGGUUGACUCUAUUGACAUUUGAGCAGGAUAUUUAGCCUGGAAAAGCGUUCUACAAAUGCUCUAUUAUUAUUAUUUUUAUUAUUAUGAUUAUUAACGGUCACAAAAAUCAAAUUGUUUUAUUUUUUAGGGACACAGGAUUUUAUUUGUAAGUUGAAAUGUAAACCGAAUUCAUUAUUGUACAUUACCGUGGGAACUAUGAAGUGAGGACGGCAAGAUAAUCACAAAAGUUGAACCUUGGUAUUUCAACAGUUGAUAACAGUUCACUACAUCUAAGAAAAUGUUUUCAGUGUAAGUGGUGUUUUCUUAAAUGACAAGGACGGUAGGGUAGCCUAGCGGUUGAACCGUUCGCUCGUCACGCCGAAGACCCGGGUUCAAUUCCCCACAUGGGUACGAUGUGUGAAGCCGAUUUCUGGUGUCCCCUGCCAAGAUUUUGCCGGAAUAUUGCUAAAAGGGGGGAAAAACUAAACUCACUCACUCACUCUUAAAUGACAAGGUACAUGUAUGAUGUACUGACUUUCCAUCAGAGAAAAAGACAAAUGUAUACAUUUCAGCACAAAGGAUAUUUUGCUGCAUGAAAAUGAAUUAACAGUGGAUUUCAGUGUAACCUAUUUCAGUUGGAUUUGCUCAGACCUGAUCUGUCUCAAAAUAAGUCAUUGUGCUUGUGUUUCUGAAAGACUUGGCACAAAAUGCAUGAAAUUGCCUUUUUUCAGUAUUAUGUAGGUUGAUAAUAUUGUUUUCAGUCAUAAUCAUGAUCUUAGUUUUAGAGUAACCACAAUGUGAUGUCAUAGGUACUCAUCUGUAUGAGGGCGGUGAGGUAGCCUAGUGGUUAAAGCGUUCGCUUGUCAUGCCGAAGACCCGGGUUCGAUUUCCGACAUGGGUACAAUGUGUGAAGCCCAUUUCUGGUGUCCCCGUCGUGAUAUUGCUGAAAUAUUGCUAAAAGUGGCUUAAGACUAAACUUACUACAACUCAUUCGUAUGAUAUACAGAGGAACAUGUAGAGGUUUCACCCUCUGGUAUAACUGUACGUAUCACUCUGUAUAUAUUCAUAAUGAUAUCCACAGGAAUAUGUGGAGGUUUCACCCUCGUAUCACUCUGUAUAUAUACAUAAUGAUAUCCACAGGAAUAUGUGGAGGUUGCACCCUAUGGUAUAACGGUACGUAUCACUCUGUAUAUAUACAUAAUGAUAUCCACAGGAAUAUGUGGAGGUUUCACCCUAUGGUAUAACUGUACGUAUCACUGUAUAUACACACGAUGAUACCAAUAGGUACAUGUAGAGGUUGCACAAUAUAGUAGAACCGCACGUAGCACUUUGUAAACAUUUUGUCACACCAUUUUAUAACAGUUAAUCAUUGUUGUGAUUGUGCAUUUAUUUCAUGUUUGCAACUUCCAUGCUUUUCAUACAUUUUUUACUUGUUUGAAAAACAAUGUACAGACUAAUUUAUUGUACAUAGUUCGACCCAAGUGGCUCUUGUUUUUAUCUCAAGUUGAUGUAUAUAUGAAUAAACCUAUCUCAGACAA